rnacentral:rRNA from 1 species
UACAGAGGGUGCGAGCGUUGUUCGGAUUUACUGGGCGUAAAGCGCACGUAGGCGGAUCGAUCAGUCAGGGGUGAAAUCCCAGAGCUCAACUCUGGAACUGCCUUUGAUACUGUCGAUCUGGAGUAUGGAAGAGGUAAGUGGAAUUCCGAGUGUAGAGGUGAAAUUCGUAGAUAUUCGGAGGAACACCAGUGGCGAAGGCGGCUUACUGGUCCAUUACUGACGCUGAGGUGCGAAAGCGUGGGGAGCAAACAGG